UGAGUAACCUGCCCUUAACUCUGGGAUAAGCCUGGGAAACUGGGUCCAAUACCGGAUAUGACUCCUCAUCGCAUGGUGGGGGUGGAAAGCUUUAUUGUGGUUUUGGAUGGACUCGCGGCCUAUCAGCUUGUUGGUGAGGUAAGGCUCACCAAGGCGACGACGGGUAGCCGGCCUGAGAGGGCGACCGGCCACACUGGGACUGAGACACGGCCCAGACUCCUACGGGAGGCAG
rnacentral:rRNA from 1 species